rnacentral:rRNA from 1 species
GCCAGCCCGCUCAGAACUCAAAGGAAGUGACGGGGCCCGCACAAGCGGUGGAGUAUGUGGUUUAAUUCGAUGCAACGCGAAGAACCUUACCUGGUCUUGACAUCCCGGAGACCCUUAGGAAACUAGGGGGUGCUUCCAUCUGGAAGAAUCUGGAGACAGGUGCUGCAUGGCUGUCGUCAGCUCGUGUCGUGAGAUGUUGGGUUAAGUCCCGCAACGAGCGCAACCCUUGCCUUUAGUUGCCAGCAGUUCGGCUGGGCACUCUAAAGGGACUGCCGGUGUUAAACCGGAGGAAGGUGGGGAUGACGUCAAGUCCUCAUGGCCUUUAUGACCAGGGCUACACACGUACUACAAUGGCCGAUACAAAGGGCAGCGACACUGCGAGGUGAAGCCAAUCCCGUAAAAUCGGUCUCAGUCCGGAUUGGAGUCUGCAACUCGACUCCAUGAAGUUGGAAUCGCUAGUAAUCGUGGAUCAGCAUGCCACGGUGAAUACGUUCCCGGGCCUU